AACGAACGCUGGCGGCAGGCUUAACACAUGCAAGUCGAACGAAGUCUUUGGACUUAGUGGCGCACGGGUGAGUAACACGUGGGAAUAUACCUCUUGGUGGGGGAUAACGUCGGGAAACUGACGCUAAUACCGCAUACGCCCUUCGGGGGAAAGAUUUAUCGCCGAGAGAUUAGCCCGCGUCCGAUUAGCUAGUUGGUGAGGUAACGGCUCACCAAGGCAACGAUCGGUAGCUGGUCUGAGAGGAUGAUCAGCCACACUGGGACUGAGACACGGCCCAGACUCCUACGGGAGGCAGCAGUGGGGAAUAUUGGACGAUGGGCGCAAGCCUGAUCCAGCCAUGCCGCGUGAGUGAUGAAGGCCUUAGGGUUGUAAAGCUCUUUCGGGUGGGACGAUGAUGACGGUACCACCAGAAGAAGCCCCGGCUAACUUCGUGCCAGCCGCCGCCGUAA
rnacentral:rRNA from 1 species